rnacentral:misc_RNA from 1 species
CGCCGCGGGAAAUCCUUCUCUAUAUAAGUUCUCGGACGAGGUUUUCCUCUGGAAAUGAAUAGAACUUUGAUAGGCGGAACGCGCAAGCAUAGGAGCAUUCGCCAGCAAUGUGAAGCGUCAUCCGUACUAAUCGAAUUCUUACCAACUAAUAAGAAAGAUGUAAUCUUCCACAAGGUACAGGAACAGCCGAAUCCAGAAACAGAUGUAGGCCUCAAAGGGUUGCUCUUGCUAUAAUUCAAGGGACAUCAGCAGAAAUAUCUCGAGGGGUAGUUAAACGGGCAAGAGGUAAUAGCAGAAUAAUUGUGUGCGCUGGUGGACCUAAUACUUAUGGACCUGGAUCAGUCCCUCAUUCUUUUAGUCACCAAAAAUGUCCUCAUAUGGAAAAAAACAGCAAAUGGAUAGAGCAUCUAGGUCGUGAGGCUCAUCCACACGAAUGUAUGUGUUCAUUCAAUGGAGUGAAAUGGUUCCCCUAUCUCUAAGGGCCCGUAAAG